rnacentral:rRNA from 1 species
GACGAACGUUGGCGGCGUGCUUAAUACAUGCAAGUCCACUGAAGCAGUGGUAGCAAUAUCGCUGUGGAGGUGGCGCACGGGUGAGUAACACGUAGGUAAUCUGCCUUCAGGUCUGGCAUAACUCCGGGAAACCGGGGCUAAUAGCAGAUGAUGCAGCGGCUCGACAUCGAGACAGUUGUUAAAGCUAUGGCGCCUGAAGAUGAGCCUGCGUCUGAUUAGCUAGUUGGCGGGGUAACGGCCCACCAAGGCAACGAUCAGUAGCUGGUCUGAGAGGAUGAUCAGCCACACUGGAACUGAGACACGGUCCAGACUCCUACGGGAGGCAGCAGUAAGGAAUAUUGCUCAAUGGGAGAAAUCCUGAAGCAGCAACGCCGCGUGAGGGACGAAGGGCUUUUGCUUGUAAACCUCUGUAGUGAGAGAAAAAAAUCCCAAUCUUUGGGAUAUGAUGGUAUCUCAAAAGUAAGCCCCGGCUAACUACGUG